CGGCCAUGGCGGACGGGGCGGGUAGCAACGGGGACGCCGCGGGGCUGCCGGUGGGCAAGGAGGCAGUGGACCGGCUGAUCCGGGAGAACGGUCACAUCUUCACCGAGGCCCAGUGCAAGGUGUGCAGCGCCCUGCUCAUCUCCGAGUCCCAGAGGCUGGCACACUACCAGAGCAAGAAGCACGCCAACAAGGUGAGGCGGUACCUGUCCAUCCACGGGGGAGAGGAGCUGGCCCACGGGAAGAAGAUGAAGCUGGACGCCAAGCAGGACAGCAAGCAGGAAGGCAGCAACGGGGAAGACAGAAACAAGUGUUGUCCCAUCUGCAACAUGACCUUUUCCUCUCCGGCUGUGGCAACAUCUCACUACUUGGGCAAGACUCAUGCCAAGAACAUGAAGCAGCAAUCCACCAAAGUGGAAGAAGCAGUGCCCCAACAGAAACAUCCUGCUGCCCUCCCCACCUCUACUGUGUCUUCUAACGAAGAGAACAAGGACAUUACUGACCCAGACAAGUUCUGUAGCCUCUGCCACGCCACUUUCAACAACCCCCUGAUGGCAAAACAGCAUUAUGUAGGCAAGAAGCACAGAAAGCAGGAGACCAAACACAAGCUGAUGGCACACUAUGGCCGAACCCCUGAUGCACCGGCGUCGUCCUUCAUGGCCUUCUGUUGGACCAGGAAGUCUAGUACCUGCUGGAUGCUUGAGGCACCAAGUUGUUGGCUAGCUGUGUGUGCUAACAUUGAUGUCUGUUUCAGCCGGGAAGGGGUACCCCUGCAGCACAUGUAACAUAGUUCUGAACUCCAUAGAGCAGUACCAAGCUCACAUCAGUGGCUUCAAACACAAGAAUCAGAUGCCAGGAGCAGUGCCGGUUGUUGGACCGUUCCCGCCACAGCAAUAUGUCCGGGAAGAGUCAACUGCCCCAGGAGGCUACAGUUAUUUCAGCCAAGACUUCUAGAGCAAGUUGCAGCACUGUUCUUGGAGUUGUUGGUGGCCCAAGAACGCACAUCCUUUGCCAGCCCACAAUGGUUUCAUUAUCCCUCUGGAUAAGCAAAGCCCUACCCUCCUGUAUGCACCCGUUGAGCAGAACGGGGACUGAAUCUGUCAGAAAAAGGAUCCAGCUGGAAAAGACUUGCUAGACAGCAAAUACUUCACUCCCUUAGAGUAGUUUUCAUUGUGUAAUUGCUUCCUGUGAAGGUGGGUGCGGUGUGAGAGGAAGUGUGUAUCUGGUAUAAGGAGGGUUUGGCGACAGGCUGGUUGGUAGUGGCCACCUCCUCCCUCACCAGAGCAAAUAAUGGAUUCGUGCACCUGGAGGGCCACCAUCCCACGCUCAGAGGUGGCUUUUGCUGGAGGAGAACGCCUAGACCAUAGCAAGCAGUGCUCAUGCAGUGUGGAUGGGACACGGGUGUGGGUUGCCUGGCUUUGUGCAGGCUUAAAAUAGGGAAUAACCAGCAUGGCUUGUCUUUCCACGUCUCCUCCAGUCGGGUUUGUGUGCGGAGUUUCAUGAGCCACUGGUUGCCGUUAGAGCUUUUGGCCGUAUCGCAGCCUUUGGUGCCGGAGCUGGGUUGUUUGGGUCUGUCUAAUGAGUAGUUACAGCUUCUGGUGUGCAAAGUGCUGCUGGGGGGAGUGGAGGGCUGUGAGAGGGGUUGGAGCUCCCGGCUCUCCAGACGGCUCAGCCCUCUGCUCCGAGGAUUUCCACGUGGAAGGAAGUAACUGUUUAGCCUGGUUUCCUAUGGAAACAGGUGUACGUGAUCAUUCACCGUGUGUGUCUUUACCCCUUGUGACUUAAAUCAAUCUCAGCCAAACUUGGCAGCAGUGGAGAUCUCCAGGAUCUGAAUGCAAUCAGCAGAGGAAGGUAGAGCAGGGUGAGUUCGUCGCUAAUUCUGUCGGGAUCUGCAUGGAAGUGCAGCAUUUUCCCUACUGCCACCAAAAUACUGUGGGGAAGGAGGGUUUUAAGGCAAAAGAGAGGGAAUAAAUCUAGAUACAGCAGAAAACUGGAGUAUAACUUGGUCAAAUAGUUAGCUAACUAAAAAGCUACAAACCCUCUGCAAACCUGCCUUUGUUAGUCCUUCAUUAGAACACUACUUGCCCAACCCCUCUCUUCAAAGUUCUUACACGUUUGUACUCUCCUGGAAAAGGGAUGUUGUAUAUUUCAAACCUGGAAGUUAAGACUGAUGUUUUUUUUCAUGGUGCUAAUGUACUAGAUCUGUUAGGAAAGGCCCCGGAAGGAAGGGCAGGCAUCUGAGGCUGUUGUGCUUUUUGGAUGAGUUCUUUAGAUGUUUUGCCUUAAGCGAAGGCAUGGCCCGUUCUCUGCUGUCCCACCACAAGAGCCAUGUGCGUUGGGCUGGCCUCAUGCUCCGAGUCAGGCACCCCGCGGCUUUCUCCCAGCGUCAGUGCCUCCGAGGAGCUGAGGCUUUGCUGGUCCGUGGCCAACAUCCUGCUGUUCCUCUUCCACGGGGCAGAAGGAUGCGGAUGUGGCCCCUCCGAGGACUUCCUUGGCUGGUGGGGUUCCGUGGGGCUGGCAGGAACAUGGGUGACAGCCGUGGGCAUGUGGCGCUGGCAGGGUGGGCUGAGUCGAGCUGCUGCCUCCCGUUGCGUGUCCCCAGCAGCUGCUGGAGGGCGGUUUGGGGCUGUUGGCUCCCAGCGCCGUGUGCCAGGGGAGCAGCUGGGGCCUGCGCGGGGCUCGGAGCCGGGCCGUAGAGGCACUUCCAAAAUCCGGUGUGUGCGCUGGUCAGGGUGAGCAAGGAGGGAGAGGCGGUUGCUGAUCUCAGUGCUUGGAGUGAGUGCCUUCCCUUCCCUGCUCCAGGCUGUGCAUGAGCUUUGUGGUUGUUUUUUUUUUCACCCUGCGCAGAAUCUGCCCUCUUCCCUUAGGACAGGCUCCCGCUGGUCUGGGUUCGCCUUCCUAAUGUUUUCUGGUCUUGCUCCACUGCUGAGGUCUGACCUUAGUCUCCUGCUACAGAGGAAGCCCUUUUAAAACCUCGGGAGCUGAUCAACGAGCAGAAAAUUGCGAUGGACUGAAGGAAGCAUUGUGCGCCUGGUAGCCCUGGAUGGCCUCCAACUCCGAUCUCUGCUGCUUAGCCCUGGUCCCGCUGUCCCAGGGCAGGUGCCUGCUAGAUGUGCUGUGCAUCGACACCAAGAGGGAUCCAUUUCCAGCGCUGCCCAGUCCGGUGUGUCACUCCUCUCUGUGUACUGACAGUUUUGCCUUCCCUUGUACACAGUGUUUAUGUAUCUGCUGUUUCCCUAAGGUGAAGCUCUCCAAAUAGAGUGUUUAUUACUAC